rnacentral:rRNA from 1 species
CACACUGUAAACGAUGUGCACUAGGUGCUGGUACGGAUGUAUCAGUGCCGUAGCUAACGUGAUAAGUGCACCGCCUGGGGAGUAUGCUCGCAAGGGUGAAACUCAAAGGAAUUGACGGGG